rnacentral:rRNA from 1 species
GAUGAACGCUGGCGGCGUGCCUAAUACAUGCAAGUCGAGCGAACGGAUGAGAAGCUUGCUUCUCUGAUGUUAGCGGCGGACGGGUGAGUAACACGUGGAUAACCUACCUAUAAGACUGGGAUAACUUCGGGAAACCGGAGCUAAUACCGGAUAAUAUUUUGAACCGCAUGGUUCAAAAGUGAAAGACGGUCUUGCUGUCACUUAUAGAUGGAUCCGCGCUGCAUUAGCUAGUUGGUAAGGUAACGGCUUACCAAGGCAACGAUGCAUAGCCGACCUGAGAGGGUGAUCGGCCACACUGGAACUGAGACACGGUCCAGACUCCUACGGGAGGCAGCAGUAGGGAAUCUUCCGCAAAGGGCGAAAGCCUGACGGAGCAACGCCGCGUGAGUGAUGAAGGUCUUCGGAUCGUAAAACUCUGUUAUUAGGGAAGAACAUAUGUGUAAGUAACUGUGCACAUCUUGACGGUACCUAAUCAGAAAGCCACGGCUAACUACGUG